CAGUAGCCGCGGUAAUACGAAGGGGGCUAGCGUUGUUCGGAAUUACUGGGCGUAAAGCGCACGUAGGCGGAUUUUUAAGUCAGGGGUGAAAUCCCGAGGCUCAACCUCGGAACUGCCUUUGAUACUGGAGAUCUUGAGUUCGGAAGAGGUUGGUGGAACAGCUAGUGUAGAGGUGAAAUUCGUAGAUAUUAGCUAGAACACCAGUGGCGAAGGCGGCCAACUGGUCCGAUACUGACGCUGAGGUGCGAAAGCGUGGGGAGCAAACAGGAUUAGAUACCCCAGUAGUCCCUGUCUCUUAUAC
rnacentral:rRNA from 1 species